rnacentral:rRNA from 1 species
AUAGCGGGGAAAAGAACCCACCAGGGAUUGCCCUAGUAACGGCGAGUGAAGCGGCAACAGCUCAAAUUUGAAAUCUGAUCUCUUCGAGGUCCGAGUUGUAAUUUGUAGAGGGCGCUUUGGUGUUGGCUGCGGUCUAAGUUCCUUGGAACAGGACGUCAUAGAGGGUGAGAAUCCCGUCUGUGGUCGCAUGUCUUCACCGUGUAAAGCCCCUUCGACGAGUCGAGUUGUUUGGGAAUGCAGCUCUAAAUGGGAGGUAAAUUUCUUCUAAAGCUAAAUACUGGCCAGAGACCGAUAGCGCACAAGUAGAGUGAUCGAAAGAUGAAAAGCACUUUGGAAAGAGAGUCAAAAAGCACGUGAAAUUGUUGAAAGGGAAGCGCUUGCAGCCAGACUUGCUUGCAGUUGCUCAUCCGGGCGUUCGCCCGGUGCACUCUUCUGUAGGCAGGCCAGCAUCAGUUUGGGCGGUUGGAUAAAGGCCUCUAUCAUGUAUCUUCUCCGGAAGACCUUAUAGAGGAGGCGUAAUGCAACCAGCCUGGACUGAGGUCCGCGCAUCUGCUAGGAUGCUGGCGUAAUGGCUGUAAGCGGCCCGUCUUGAAACACGGACCAAGGAGUCUAACAUCUAUGCGAGUGUUUGGGUGUCAAGCCCGAGCGCGUAAUGAAAGUGAACGGAGGUGGGAACCCUCGGGUGCACCAUCGACCGAUCCUGAUGUCUUCGGAUGGAUUUGAGUAAGAGCAUAGCUGUUGGGACCCGAAAGAUGGUGAACUAUGCUUGAAUAGGGUGAAGCCAGAGGAAACUCUGGUGGAGGCUCGCAGCGGUUCUGACGUGCAAAUCGAUCGUCAAAUUUGGGCAUAGGGGCGAAAGACUAAUCG